UCCUAGUGAGCCUGCAGGAGAAAGUUCAGUUCUAAUCAUGAUUUGAAAUGUGCCGAUUUUUUUAAGUGAUGUAGGAGUAUAAAGAACGGUUGGGAAAACACAGCUAGAAUUGAUCAGCUUUGCCAGUUGUUUGAAAGCAGGAGGCAACCUGAGGUAUGUUUGGGGUUGUCCAUCUUUCCCGGAGAAUUUUCAUCUUUGCAUUGGCCUAAGAUAAGUUUCUACCAGACCAUUUCCUGUAUGCCCUCUAACCGUCUCCAGGUCCUUUAUUGUUUCUUGCAAUAAUAGAAAUUACCCAGACAGUCUGAAGGCAUAAAUGUCAAUAGCAAACAGACAUUCAUUAUGACUGAAUGUCAGGAACACUGGGAGCGAUUGGCCCCUACAACUUCCUCAAAAGGCUUUGGAGCCCUUGGUUUCAGAAGGGGAGUGAGGUUGUGGUUCUCAUUUACCUCUCAGCUGCUAAGUGUGCGCUUGCGAUUCACUUUGUUGUUUGAAAUUAUCAUUUUGAAACAGACCUGUUAGUGUCCUUCAGAGAUAAUGCCAACACAAAGUGGCAUUGAUAUUGAGAAAGUCACCGGACUGAGUAAUGAAUACGACUUUUAAAAGAGGAAAAGGGAAGCAUCAUCUUUACACUUCAAGUGUUCACGUUUCCCAAUAUUUUUGAUUAGUCUGUUUAAACAUUUGGAGUUGAAGAACGUGGAGUAAUAGUUCACAAUAAUGCAGUUUAUAGAAAUAUAAACUGGAGGAAAUUGUUGCCUUUCUCCAGAUUCACUUGCCUUACCAUGAAGCAUCAGUCGUGCUGGCUUAGAAAGUAUUCAAUUUAGGGGGAAAAAGGAAAUCUGGGGAAAGACUUCAUUUGCUGCAAACUUAACUUUAGUGAUUCAAAAUAAAACUCCUAUAGCAAAUAUUUCCAUACCUUGAUUAUUUUGAAUAUAUCAAGUCCCUUAAUUUUCAUAGCCAAAAAUUGAAACCAGAAAGGGCAUUGAGGAUUUAUACACUGAUUUCUAUUACGAAGAGAUUUCUGGCGUGCAGGAGAAUUUCCCAUGGCACCUGCCUGCGGCUAUCUUGAUAGGAAAGUGAAAUCAAACUGCUAAAUAUUCAAUUUUGGGGGAAACGUUAACCAUGUAGAUGUACCUGAUCAAAUUAAAAGGUAACAUAGCCAGCUAAGAGACACAUUAAAUACUUAUUUGCAUUUUCCUGGGAAUUGAUUACUUCAUCUAUAAUACCUAGUUAUUACAGAUGCUGAUUUUUUUAUUUUAUAAAAAAAAUGGUGAGUUUAAAUUAUGUCCUAAUUGUUAUGAAUCUUAAUCAUAAAUGAAUAGAAUAACCUCAGCUUUUAAGCUUAUCUGAUAUUAAAACUCUAUACUUGCCACAAUUUAAAAUCCACAUGUGUAUGAGAGACUGUUAAGGAAUUCUAGUGUGUCUCUAUCGGGUGUAACUGAAGACGUUGAUAGAAGCACAAAGUAAGGGCUGUCUUAUUAGGGGAAUAAAGACGAUUAAGAUACGUGCUGACCCUCUUGCCUGUGAGAUGCGUAUUUCCACAUAGUCUAAGGGACAAGAAUCAUUUCUGAAGAUGCAAGAUAACUUUUAGUUUCCCAGUGUGGUGACAUCUGGCUCCUUUUCUAUGUGUGACUCUGAGAGUGACUUUGGCAUCAUACGCUUCUUAUCAAAAUGAUCUGUGAGCUCUGAAAUAAAGCACGCCAAGGCUACAGCUGAAGUGUGGUCAGGACACAAUACUUUCAUUAAGUACAAUCCAUAGUCUUGGAAAUAUUAUUCUUGCCUGUGGAAGGUAUAUUUUAGUUACCAUGCCACAAAGGAAGCUGUAUGUAUCUUUAAAAAAAAAAAAAAAA
ensembl:lncRNA